rnacentral:rRNA from 1 species
GUUUGUUCUUGUAGAUAUUGGCAGCUUUCUGGUCUGCCCUGCUGCCAUGCAAUAAGUUGCAUACAAGAGUCACAACAGUUGGAUGCAUACAUAGCUGAGUGCUAUUCCAUUGAGACUUACAAGAAAAUUUACUUGUAUGUGUUGGAGCCAUUGGAAGGCCAGUCAAGUUGGCCUGUUGCUGAUCAUGUGAGGCCACAAGCACCUGGUUACAUCAAAAUGCCAGGCAGGCCAAGGAAAGAAAGGAAAAGAGAAGAAGGAGAAGCACCAAAAGGGACAAAAAUGAGCAAGGUGGGUGGCCAAAUCACCUGCAGCUCAUGCAAUAGGACAGGACAUAACAUGACAAGUUGCACAAAUAAUGCUGUUGCAAAUAAGCAUCAUGGAAAUGCACAUAUUGUCAGAGAAAGGUAUAGGAAAAGGAAAAUACAAAAAGAAGCCUAUGAGGCAGAAUAUUCAAAGAAAUCAAAGGUAAUGUGUUGA